rnacentral:rRNA from 1 species
UACAGAGGUCUCAAGCGUUGUUCGGAUUCAUUGGGCGUAAAGGGUGCGCAGGUGGCGGCGCGCGUGGGGGGUGAAAUCGCCCGGCUUAACUGGGCGGGGGCCUUCCAGACGGCGUGGCUUGAGCAGCGGAGGGGGACGUGGAAUUCCGGGUGGAGCGGUGAAAUGCGUAGAGAUCGGAAAGAACACCAACGGCGAAAGCACUCUGCUGGGCCGACACUGACACUGAGAGACGAAAGCUAGGGGAGCGAAUGGG